AUGCUUACCUGGCAGGGUAGACACCAUGAGCAGGCAGGUAGUUUUCCCAGAGAGAGGCUCACCCAUUGCACUUGAGGUGUGCUGUCCCCUGAGAUUUCUGUACACACACGAAACUGCAUAAUUUGUGGUAGUGAGGGACGGUAUUAGUUCUUUCUCCUG